CCAGACAUCUCUUGGCUUUGGAGGACUGCAGACGUUUCUUCGUCAGCUGAAGCAUUCAGCUUAGCUUAGUCAAUGCUUUUGAUAACACGGUAACAUUGGAGCAUCCCACUGCUCUACUGCACCUUUAGCUUAGCGAAGUCCACUGCUAGGCUAUUGCUUUUAUCGGAAUCAUGAAGAACGUCGUCUUUGGCGGGGCACACAAUAUGGCGGUAGUGCCCCAGUCACUCCGCAUCUCUGGUAGUCCUGUCAGUGAGCUACGAUACACGCUCGCAGCAAAAAAAUGAGGGCACACGAAGACUUAAGCUUGCAAUGACUGCAAAGUGAGGUGCACAGCAUCCCUUUGUUCAUCAGCGACAGUCAGCUGACGCUCGGGCAAUUGAUCUCCGCGAAACACCCCCGUUAGAAAUGGCACUAGGGAAAUUUACGAGGCACUGUCCAGCUGGAUUUGUUCAGGGGUUCAGUCAUCGGUUGGUGCGCGCCGGUAGUUGGAGGUUUGAGGUCAGACGCACUUCAACUUCGGCGACGUAGCAUCCCCCGACAUAACCCCUGGGCACUUGCAGACGGCGUAUGCUACGAGAAUAAAAGCACUUGAAGGAUAGGACUUACAGAUAGAGCUGAAGUCUGACCAACUAUACGUGACUGAAAGCUCCAGUACGGUUGCAGAAUAUUUCACGAGGCACUAGAAAACGACUACAACUUCUUGCAGGAUAUUGCAGCUCACUGGUAGUGGUUAGAUUCAGGCCCAACUUUGGUACAUGGUUCUUUUGCUACCCCGAAAUUGUCCUUGGUACGAUUGGCAUUUUGGCAACAGAGUCGAAAGCUAUCCAGCAGUGCAAAUAUGCACAAAUGCCAUUCACCCAUUGGUGACAGACGAGGACUUCGAAAGACUUCAUUACGAACUGCGCCGCUUCCUUGAGGAUUUUGGCAAGAUUCGUCCGGGGGUUCGGUUGGUGGUAGGUUUCUGUUGUUUGGCAGGGGUUUUUGAGGUCAGACGCCCCCUAUCAGCUGCUGCAAAACUGCUGUUAACUUUGCCCCCGAGCGUGUGUUGUCUGCCUCAGCACUCGGAAGCCGCAGUUCCGAUUUCUCAGAAGUCCGUUUCCAGGAGACAGACCUGUAGACAUAGCUACGGAACAUAGUCUUAACACCACUGAAGAGAAGUGGUCGAAAGACAGGCCUACAAACAAAAACACAGCAAGCACCUCAUUAAUGGCUGUGGACCUUCCAUGGGGAACGUGAUCUGGAUGCGCCCGGAGGUUUGGCCGGUUGGUGGGUUUCUGCCGCUAGGGAGAGGUUUUUGAGGUCAGACGCCCUCUAUCUUCGGCUGUAAAACUGCCGGUGGCUUUGCCUUCGAGCGCGUGUAGGACUGCCCCAGCCUUUGAAGGGCACAACCUAGAGGACCGCCUUGCUGUGUACUGCGAGCCAAAUACCUGUUUCCUCAAGAACGACUGGAAAUAAGCCACGUCUGGGCUUGAAACCAGAACCGUCAUUGUAAAUGACCGCAGUUGUUUUACGACAUAGGAUAUCACAUUUUGAAACAACAAAACAGGUUCAACGCUCAUUUCAAGCCGUGUUGCUCAGGAAGAUCAGCGCUAAAUUCGCCCGGAGGUUCGGUCUUUGGUGGGUUUCUGUUGUUAGGCAGGGGUUUUGAGGUCAGACGCCCCCUAUCUUCGGCUGUAAAACUGUCGGGGACUUUGCCUCCGAGCGUUUAUGGGGCACUCCCAAUCUCGAGGGAUACGUCUUGGAGCGUUGACCUGUGUCAGCCAGGCGGAGCAAUAAAGAAAAACACUGUGCCAUUCUUGAUUCUGCCGCCUUUCAGUCACGUAGCUCUAUUCUUGCCUAUCCCAGCUGGCUCAGUUCCAACCUGACUCCUCAGUCACAACCUAGCACUCCCCCCCGUAGUGUUGACGUAUUUGCAAAGUGAGAUGAGCUGUGCAGAUAUUGCCGCAGAAAGGACAUUUUUCACGUUGAAGUGUCAUGUUCUUGCGCGUCUAAUAUGUUGUUUGUUGAACGCCUGUCUGCCUUGUGGCAACCAACAAAAGGAAGACAUCCUUAGACACGCUUCAUUUUUUUGAAGCACAGUUAAGCGCUCGCGAGGUAUAGUUUUCGACGCGAAUUCGGACAAAAUCGUCCUCGGCCUCUUCCUCCGCUGGCUCGGCCGCCCGGGUCUCGGUGGCUGUGCGGGUCGGCGGCUGUCGUUGAAGGAUGAUCGAGGUCAGAUACCUGUCGACGCGGUCGCAUGACCUGCCGGUCGCUUAGUCACCGGCGAGCGUGCCAGUGGGACCCGCCGUACCAGAAUUCGGAACCAGCUAUUGGUCUGCCUUUUCGGACGCUCCGGGCCCAAAAUACUAUGACAAUCUGGUCCACGCAACGUGGUGGAAGCAGCCACCAGAGUAACGAACCGCCAUGACAGUCUCUCGCUACUGCCGUUUUCGCCGUGGGGCUUCGUUUCCUUUCGGGACUGCCGGGAUCCGUCCGGGAAGCCACGCGGGCACGGGGCGCGCGGGACCCAGGAAGCGGUUCGGCUGGCCCUUUGCAGGUCGUCGCUGGAUCGCCGAAGCGGGUGUCCGCGACCAUCCCUCCGUGCCCGGUGGAUACAACGGAGCGGUGCGUGGACACCCGCCCCCGCGGGAACCUCCGUCGUGUGUCGUGUUCACCGCCCCUCCCAGGAUAUAGGGGCGGUGCCGGUGCGGUGCCUUGUGUUAAAUAUUGUGGUGAAGUGCGGUGUUUGUGCUGGUGCAGUGCAGUGCAGUGUAGCGGGCUCGCGGGUCAUGGUGCGUCUUCCCCCAAAAGCAUUACAGAGUCGGAUGCUUGUUGGGCCCCACGCGCUUCGGUCCCGCUUGGACCCGAGACGACCCGAGAGUCGCGUCUGCGGGCGAUGUUGCCAUGGCGAUCUCGGGCAGAGCUGUCCUGCGCUUAUUCCAAAACUCCGCGUGUAGCCGACUUGGCUAGGGCCGUCUGGGGUCUGUUCUCGGGGAGGUGACGACCGCAAAAUUUAAAACUUCUGCAGGGUGAGGCCGAGGAGGCUCAGCACAAAAAGUGCACAAAAAACGAUGCUCGAGAACUGUGCCAUGCACAAUGCGCUUUCCCAGAUUCUCUUCCAUCGGCUUCUGGGUGCCUCUUGCGCACUAAACAUUUCCCCCCGAGGGGGAAAUUUGUAAAAAUUUGUUACGAGCUGGCAGGUUGUUCUGGUGAGGUGUUGAGAUGCAAAUAAAGGAUAGGUUUCGUGUGGUGACAACAAAUUCGCGUGCAAAGAUGUCCUGGAUGUAGCCAUAUCUGCAGGCACGCGAUGUCUUCCUCAAAGUUUAAGCUUAGCCUUGACUUUUCAUUGGCGUAAAGUUGUGCCGCACAAUUUGUAUCUUGUCCCCUAUGAACACACUUUGCUUCGAGCGUCUCUGACAGUGGAAGAACUGCCAAGACUUCGUGUCUCCAUUGCACUUCGGGGCUGCCUUCAAACUGCUAUGGGGCUACCACACACUCAGACGAACGAGUCACAAGGGUACCUGGUCCCUCAACAGAUGAAUGCCUUAACGAGCCUACAUCUUUUUCCAACGUUUAUGUCAUCGAGGCUUAGCAAGAAACAUCAAGCAACGCAAGCUCUACAAGAUUCGAACAGCAUGUCACACACAAGAAGCUUCGGUUCCGAACAUCACAUCUGACACAAAAAAAUCGCAACGUCCCUCUCGGCAAUUCGUAUCUGAACAUAACCCAAAUUGCACAGCACGUGAUGAGCUAAGCAAGCAAACUUUCUCCGUCCCCUUCGUGGUGAAGUGUCCCGACGGGUAGACCCGUUCCGCAAGUUUCCAGCUCUGACAUGAGUCGAGAAAAGCAAGUGUGCAGUGGGGUGCUUUUUUCUUAUUAUCACUGAUGCAUAUGGCGUGGUGGUUGCAAGGUGCGGUGAUGUGUGCGUGAUUAUGAAACGCAAUUAAGGCCGCGAAAGCCUAGCUGCGUGUUCACUAUAGUGAUGUGCUGUGAAGUGCUGGUGAGGAAUCUCGUGAGCAUCAUACUUAUCAAGCGCGUAGCCCCUGUGGUGAAGAAGACGACGACGAGGACGAUCUCUGCAACGCAAGCUUACGCUCAUCACGCAUGACGUGCAUUGUCACACAUCACACAAAAAGUACAAAAAACGCAACAGUCAAAGAAAGUUACACGCUUGUGCCUCGGUGGUUGAUAGGGAAAGGGGUGGGCUUUUACCGUCAAAACAUGACAAGUCUGGGUGCGUGCUGCAGCAUCCGCAGAUCCUUGUCGACGGGCAGAAUUCGUAUUGCUCCGCAGCAAUACGCAUCGAAAAAAAUUUCAAGAGGCCUCGUUGGUAACGAAGACGUUGUGUAAAUCAUCCGUGAGAAGAUUGUAACGUGACUUGCAAGCAUAGUGCUGUCCGAGAUAUCGCAAUAAAUGUACAGCAAAGAUGCAA